UCGGUUAAUUGUUCAUCCGCAAUUUUUCUCCCCGAAGCUCCCGAUUCCAUCUCUAAUCAUCUCCUCAAGCGCCGAUGUCAGAGGGGGAGUUUCAAGAAAGUUUCUAGACCAUCUUUCGUCCAUCUGGAAGUUCGCCGAAGGGAGGUUUCGACAGUGAAUUUGCAGCUGAUCUGAAUGCUCUGUUUCUGCCUUGUGCGGAGGAGUUUUCCUGUUCCAGCAGCUCCGCCUCAUAGCAGUGAACAAUGGAGGUGUUUCCCCUUUGUUGCUGAGUUCAUUUCGACACCCUUUCACCCACCAUCAGAUCCCCCUUUGAGCAAAAAUUCAGAUCAACAGAUUCUAGUUUUGUGCUUCCAAUUUCGAUUCGAUUCUUGCAUUCAUCAUUGCGGGAGGUCUUUGCAGUGAAGAUUGCACGCUUCAUGUGAUUCCAGCGUUCAGAGCCUACUUGUGCAUCUUCUCCGACGACCUGAGUCGGGAGUUUUCGUCUCCGGCCUCUUGUGCGAUGGCAAAAGUGUGAUGUUUGUGUAGUUGAUUGUGAAUGUGGAUCGGUUUCAUUUCAUUCCUAGUUUAUUUGCUGCUUUAUAUUAGAUUUCAUUUAUGUCUUGCUAUUUCAUACCAUAGAUUACUUGUGUUGAUUGUGAAAUCCAUAGCGUAGAGUGACAAUGUGUUGUGAAUUAAUUGUUGGCACUUACUUAGAUUUCAUUCAAGCUUUAGUUUAAUUUCUUACUUGUUUUGCUAUUUUAAUUGUUAGGUUUAGAAUCGAAAUUAAAACCCCCAUUUACAUAUCAAAAAUCUCAAAAAUAUGAAUAACAUACGAUUCUAAAUUACCAUCCUAUUGUUAGUUCCUCGAGAGAUUCGACCCUGGGCUCAUUAUUACAAUAUCAUUGUGUAGUUAAGGCGUUCAUUGGAUAUAAAUUGUUAAUUUGAUUUACGGGUGUGACAGAUUUUUUAUCAAAGUUUGGCACCGUUGUCGGAGAACUAUAGGGUGUUUGGUAAUUUUUGGAUUGUUUUAAUAUUUUGUUUGGUGCUUAGAUACUUAUUUGUUUUAUAUAUCCAUGUGUUUGAUAUUUUGAGAUUCCUGUGUCUAGUGAUUUUGUUUGUAUCAUUGUUUUAGGUGAGACUAGGAUAUAUAUUCAGUAGCCAUGGAUCCAUUUGAGGCUUUAAUGAUGGAGGGAACUGAAUUUGACGAUAUUGAUCACAUAAAGAAGAGGCUCACUACCAUUAAGUCAAUUCCACUUCCGCUUUGGCUCUUAUUAUUGAACUGUAUUCGCCCACCAGAAAUUCAAUGGAGACACUUAAAUUGACUCCAAGUGGUGCAUGAUCAAGGGUCAACAAGUGGUUCAUCUAACCAAAUGAAGAAGCUCAAACUCAAUUUGAUUCAAUCCAUCCCAAGGAUCUUAACCCAAGUCAAAUCCAUCUCAACAAAACCUUAAUGCUGCAUUUGAAUCUAAGCUAAACCCCCAUCUAAACUCGGUUCAAACAGGAGUAUAUAAACUGGAAUUCUCGCGGAUAUUCAUUUGUGAUUUUUUGCCCUACAUCUCACGAUUCCAUCUCCAAUCAUAUCCUCAAGCGCCGACGUCAGAGAGGGAGUUUCAAGGAAGUUUAUAGACCAUCUUUUGACCAGCUGGAAGUUCGCUGGAGGGAGGUUUCGACGGUGAAUUUGCUGCUGAUUUGAAUGCUCUAUUUCUGCCCUGUUCGGAGGAGUUUUCUCGUUCCAGCGGCUUCGCCUCAUAGCAGUGAACAAUGGAGGUGUUUCCCCUUUGUUGCUGAGUUCAUUUUGACACUCUUUCACCCACCAUCAGAUCCCCCUUUGAGCAAAAAUUUAAAUCGACAGAUUCCAGUUUUGUGCUUCUAAUUUCGAUUCGAUUCUUGCAUUCAUCAUUGUGGAAGAUCUUUGCAAUGAAGAUUGCACGCUUCGUGUGAUUCCAGAGUUCAAAGCCUACUUGUGCAUCUUCUCCGACGACUAGAGUCGGGAGUUUUCGUCUCUGGCCUCUUGUGUGACGGCAAGAGUGUGAUGUUUGUGUAGUUGGUUGUGAAUGUGGAUCAGUUUCAUUUCAUUAUAUUCCUUAGUUUAUUUACUGCUUUA